rnacentral:rRNA from 1 species
CAAUAGCGUAUAUUAAAGCUGUUGCGGUUAAAAAGCUCGUAGUUGGAUUUCUGUCAAGUACAACUGGUCCGCCCUCCGGGUGAGCACAUAGUUUGGUCUUGGCAUCUUGCUGGAAAUUGUUGCUGCACUUGGCUGUGUGGCGCAGUGUCCAGCACUUUCACUUUGAGGAAAUUGGAGUGUUUCAAGCAGGCAAUGCCUUUGAACACAGUAGCAUGGAAUAAUUAGAUUGGGCUUUUGCUCCAAUUUGUCGGUUUCUGGAGCUGAGGUGAGAAUUAAUGGGGAUUGUUGGGGGCAUCCGAAUUUAGCCGUCAGAGGUGAAAUUCUUGGAUCGGCUAAAGACGGACAACUGCGAAAGCGUCUGCCCAGGAUGUUUNCAUUG